AUACGGAGGAUGCGAGCGUUAUCCGGAUUUAUUGGGUUUAAAGGGUGCGUAGGCUGUGCGUUAAGUCAGGGGUGAAAUGCCGUCGCUCAACGACGGAGCUGCCCUUGAUACUGGCGUGCUGGAGUACGGAUGCCGUUGGAGGAAUGAGUGGUGUCGCGGUGAAAUGCUUAGAUAUCACUCAGAACACCGAUUGCGAAGGCAUCUGACGAAUCCGUCACUGACGCUGAGGCACGAAAGCGUGGGGAUAGAACAGGAUUAGAUACCCUGGUAUUCCACGCCGUAAACGAUGAUGACUAACCGUCGGCGAUAGACAGCCGGUGGCCAAGCGAAAGCGAUAAGUCAUCCACCUGGGGAGUACGUCGGCAACGAUGAAACUCAAAUGAAUUGACGGGG
rnacentral:rRNA from 1 species